rnacentral:misc_RNA from 1 species
AAAAAAAAAAAAAAAAAUUAAAGUGCAGACAGAUAGCAUGAGUGAGAGAAGUAGAGAAAAGGAGGAGGAGGAGAGAAAAGAGAAAAAAUUACAAAGAAACUAAAAUUUUAAAAACUUAAAGUGCAGAUUUUGUGCAGAUGGCGUGAGUGAGAGAAGAAGAGAAGAAAAGGAUGGGAGGAGGAGGAGAGAAAAGAAGAAAAAAUAAAAAGAACCAAAAAAUGGAUUGCAGGUGCUGGAUGGACUUGCUGGUAGGUUGCAUAGUUGAAAGGAAAAGAAAUAUAGAAAAGAGUAGAGGAGAGAGAGGAAAG